rnacentral:rRNA from 1 species
GACGAACGCUGGCGGCGUGCUUAACACAUGCAAGUCGAGCGGUAAGGCCCUUCGGGUACGACGAGCGGCGAACGGGUGAGUAACACGUGGGUGACCUGCCUCUAGCUCUGGGAUAAGCCUGGGAAACUGGGUCUAAUACCGGAUAUGACUCCACGGCGCAUGUUGUGGGGUGGAAAGCCUUGUGUGGCUAGAGAUGGGCCCGCGGCCUAUCAGCUUGUUGGUGGGGUGAGGGCCUACCAAGGCGACGACGGGUAGCCGGCCUGAGAGGGCGACCGG